AACGAACGCUGGCGGCGUGCCUAACACAUGCAAGUCGUGCGAGAAAGGUUCCUUCGGGGACCAAGUAAAGCGGCGCACGGGUGAGUAACACGUAGGUAACCUGCCCCUUAGUCUGGAACAACUGGAGGAAACUCCAGCUAAUGCCGGAUGAGACCACGGCCCCUUCGGGAGCUGCGGCCAAAGAUGGCCUCUACUUGUAAGCUAUCGCUGGGGGAUGGGCCUGCGGGCCAUUAGCUUGUUGGUGAGGUAACGGCUCACCAAGGCCCUGAUGGCUAGGUGGUCGGAGAGGAUGACCAGCCACACUGGGACUGAGACACGGCCCAGACUCCUACGGGAGGCAGCAGUGGGGAAUAUUGCGCAAUGGGCGAAAGCCUGACGCAGCGACGCCGCGUGGGUGAUGAAGGCCUUCGGGUCGUAAAGCCCUGUCGCAGGGGAAGAAUAAGCAUCGGGAUAAUACCCCGGUGCCCUGACGGUACCCUGUAAGAAAGCACCGGCUAACUCCGUGCCAGCCGCCGCGGUAAGAC
rnacentral:rRNA from 1 species